rnacentral:rRNA from 1 species
GAUGAACGCUGGCGGCGUGCCUAAUACAUGCAAGUCGAGCGAACGGACGAGAAGCUUGCUUCUCUGAUGUUAGCGGCGGACGGGUGAGUAACACGUGGAUAACCUACCUAUAAGACUGGGAUAACUUCGGGAAACCGGAGCUAAUACCGGAUAAUAUUUUGAACCGCAUGGUUCAAGAGUGAAAGACGGUCUUGCUGUCACUUAUAGAUGGAUCCGCGCUGCAUUAGCUAGUUGGUAAGGUAACGGCUUACCAAGGCAACGAUGCAUAGCCGACCUGAGAGGGUGAUCGGCCACACUGGAACUGAGACACGGUCCAGACUCCUACGGGAGGCAGCAGUAGGGAAUCUUCCGCAAAGGGCGAAAGCCUGACGGAGCAACGCCGCGUGAGUGAUGAAGGUCUUCGGAUCGUAAAACUCUGUUAUUAGGGAAGAACAUAUGUGUAAGUAACUGUGCACAUCUUGACGGUACCUAAUCAGAAAGCCACGGCUAACUACGUG